ACACGGGGGGCGCAAGCGUUAUUCGGAACUAUUGGGCGUAAAGGGCGCGUAGGCGGUCUUGUCGGUCAGAUGUGAAAGCCCAAGGCUCAACCCUGGACGUGCAUUUGAAACAGCAAGACUUGAGUACGGGAGAGGAAAGCGGAAUUCCUGGUGUAGAGGUGAAAUUCGUAGAUAUCAGGAGGAACACCGAUGGCGAAGGCAGCUUUCUGGACCGAUACUGACGCUGAGGCGCGAAGGCGUGGGUAGCGAACAGGAUUAGAAACCCGGGUAGUCC
rnacentral:rRNA from 1 species